UACGUAGGGUGCAAGCGUUGUCCGGAAUUAUUGGGCGUAAAGAGCUCGUAGGCGGUCUGUCGCGUCUGCUGUGAAAACUCGGGGCUUAACCCUGGGCCUGCAGUGGGUACGGGCAGACUAGAGUGCGGUAGGGGAGACUGGAAUUCCUGGUGUAGCGGCGAAAUGCGCAGAUAUCAGGAGGAACACCGGUGGCGAAGGCGGGUCUCUGGGCCGUAACUGACGCUGAGGAGCGAAAGCGUGGGGAGCGAACAGG
rnacentral:rRNA from 1 species